UACGGAGGGUGCAAGCGUUAAUCGGAAUUACUGGGCGUAAAGCGCGCGUAGGCGGUUUGAUAAGUCGAUUGUGAAAUCCCCGGGCUCAACCUGGGAAUUGCAGUCGAGACUGUCAGACUAGAGUGUGGGAGAGGGUGGUGGAAUUCCCGGUGUAGCGGUGAAAUGCGUAGAUAUCGGGAGGAACAUCAGUGGCGAAGGCGACCGCCUGGCCCAACACUGACGCUGAGGUGCGAAAGCGUGGGUAGGCAAACAGG
rnacentral:rRNA from 1 species